AUUGAACGCUAGCGGGAGGCUUAACACAUGCAAGUCGAACGAGUGGCGGACGGGUGAGUAAUAUAUGGGAACGUGACCGAUAGAGGGGGAUAACUACUGGAAACGGUGGCUAAUACCGCAUCCUAUCGGAGGAGCCCAUAUGGGAUUAGCUAGUAGGUGGGGUAACGGCUCACCAAGGAAACGCGCCGUAGCUGGUUGGAGAGGCUGACCAGCCACACUGGGACUGAGACACGGCCCAGACUCCGACGGGAGGCAGCAGUGGGGAAUUUUGGACAAUGGGCGAAACCCUGAUCCAGCCAUCCCGCGUGUAUGAGAAGGCCUUAGGGUUGUAAAGUACUUUUGGCAGAGAAGCGUUAUCUGCAGAAUAAGCACCGGCUAACUACGUGCCAGCAGCCGCGGUAAUAC
rnacentral:rRNA from 1 species